GAUGAACUCUGGCGGCGUGCCUAAUACAUGCAAGUCGAGCGAACGGACGAGAAGCUUGCUUUUCUGAUGUUAGCGGCGGACGGGUGAGUAACACGUGGAUAACCUACCUAUAAGACUGGGAUAACUUCGGGAAACCGGAGCUAAUACCGGAUAAUAUUUUGAACCGCAUGGUUCAAAAGUGAAAGACGGUCUUGCUGUCACUUAUAGAUGGAUCCGCGCUGCAUUAGCUAGUUGGUAAGGUAACGGCUUACCAAGGCAACGAUGCAUAGCCGACCUGAGAGGGUGAUCGGCCACACUGGAACUGAGACACGGUCCAGACUCCUACGGGAGGCAGCAGUAGGGAAUCUUCCGCAAUGGGCGAAAGCCUGACGGAGCAACGCCGCGUGAGUGAUGAAGGUCUUCGGAUCGUAAAACUCUGUUAUUAGGGAAGAACAUAUGUGUAAGUAACUGUGCACAUCUUGACGGUACCUAAUCAGAAAGCCACGGCUAACUACGUG
rnacentral:rRNA from 1 species